rnacentral:lncRNA from 1 species
GGAGUUUGAAGAUACUAAAGAAUAAAUAAGAGGGGCAGAGGUGUUGGAAAACAUGAGAGUCUCUUGUUUCCCUGCCACCCCAUCCCACCCCCAUUCUUCUAGAAUCCCGAAAGCGAGAAGAGAGGCUCUGCACAGAGAACAGAGGAGCCAACCAAACACUGUGUGAUUUCACUGGCACCAUUCCCCCAUGAUACACAAUAGACCUGCAGGUUUGAAACUUCAGAAGGGGAAGUGUGUGAAAACACCUUGAGAUUUGCCAGUUCCCUGGCUGAGCUGUGAAAGACAAAGAGCUUUUGUAGGCGCUGGGAUGACAACUUCAACAAAGACUCAGCCUCAGCCCAAGGUGAUACAUCUCAAAAGACAGUCUCUGUGCCGAGAGCCUAAGGCUUCAAGCUCCACAGAGCAGGCUGUUUCCUUCCUAGAAGGACAGAGAAUAGAAAACAGCGAAGGAUCUUCAAAACAUUGUGUCCUUGGAACCCGCCAAACCAUUUCCAAUAGAGGUUACUAUUGGUCUAAGGAUGUCCCCCUGAGGAUGCAGAUCCAGCAGCUCUUCCAUGGAGACAGUGUUCUGCUCUACCCAAAAUCUUAGCUGGAAACGGUUACAUGACUUUCUGCAGGGAUUUGAUGAGUUUCACUCUAUGUCUGCUAGUUGGAGUGUGUUCUUCCCUUUCACUUGCUAG